rnacentral:rRNA from 1 species
UAGGGAAUCUUCGGCAAUGGGGGCAACCCUGACCGAGCAACGCCGCGUGAGUGAAGAAGGUUUUCGGAUCGUAAAGCUCUGUUGUAAGAGAAGAACGUGUGUGAGAGUGGAAAGUUCACACAGUGACGGUAACUUACCAGAAAGGGACGGCUAACUACGUGCCAGCAGCCGCGGUAAUACGUAGGUCCCGAGCGUUGUCCGGAUUUAUUGGGCGUAAAGCGAGCGCAGGCGGUUUAAUAAGUCUGAAGUUAAAGUCAGUGGCUUAACCAUUGUUCGCUGUGGAAACUGUUAAGCUUGAGUGGAGAAGGGGAGAGUGGAAUUCCAUGUGUAGCGGUGAAAUGCGUAGAUAUAUGGAGGAACACCGGUGGCGAAAGCGGCUCUCUGGUCUGUAACUGACGCUGAGGCUCGAAAGCGUGGGGAGCAAACAGG